UGCGGAGGGUGCAAGCGUUAUCCGGAAUCACUGGGUUUAAAGGGUGCGUAGGCGGCCAGAUAAGUCAGAGGUGAAAGUUUCCGGCUCAACCGGGAGAUUGCCUUUGAUACUGUUUGGCUUGAAUCAGAUUGAGGUUGGCGGAGUGUGACAUGUAGCGGUGAAAUGCAUAGAUAUGUCAUAGAACAUCGAUUGCGAAGGCAGCUGGCUGGAUCUGUAUUGACGCUGAGGCACGAAAGCGUGGGGAGCAAACAGG
rnacentral:rRNA from 1 species